rnacentral:rRNA from 1 species
GACGAACGCUGGCGGCGUGCUUAACACAUGCAAGUCGAACGGUGAAGGUGGGAGCUUGCUCCUACCGGAUCAGUGGCGAACGGGUGAGUAACACGUGAGUAACCUGCCCCAGACUCUGGAAUAACCCCGGGAAACCGGAGCUAAUACCGGAUACGAGACGAAGCUGCAUGGCUAUCGUCUGGAAAGUUUUUCGGUCUGGGAUGGACUCGCGGCCUAUCAGCUUGUUGGUGAGGUAACGGCUCACCAAGGCGACGACGGGUAGCCGGCCUGAGAGGGCGACCGGCCACACUGGGACUGAGACACGGCCCAGACUCCUACGGGAGGCAGCAGUGGGGAAUAUUGCACAAUGGGCGAAAGCCUGAUGCAGCGACGCCGCGUGAGGGAUGACGGCCUUCGGGUUGUAAACCUCUUUCAGCAGGGAAGAAGCGAAAGUGACGGUACCUGCAGAAGAAGCACCGGCUAACUACGUGCCAGCAGCCGCCGUAACAC